rnacentral:pre_miRNA from 1 species
UGGAGUGAAACAUGGGAUUACAGCUGUAUUCAUGACGUGAAAUAGGGGAUUACACUGUUUUUAAAACGGAAAGUGAAUCAAUUAACAUAAUAGACUCCU